GGCCGGUUAGCCCAGUCAGUAGAGUGUAGCGCUAACAACGCUAAGGUCGUGGGUUCGAUUCCUGUUCAGUCCC
rfam:Apaloderma vittatum contig12169, whole genome shotgun sequence.